rnacentral:rRNA from 1 species
GAUGAACGCCGGCGGUGUGCCUAAUACAUGCAAGUCGAGCGGAGUUAUGAUGGAGCUUGCUCCUGAUUAACUUAGCGGCGGACGGGCGAGUAACACGUAGGCAACCUGCCCUCAAGACUGGGAUAACUACCGGAAACGGUAGCUAAUACCGGAUAAUUUCUUUCCUCUCCUGAAGAGAGAAUGAAAGGCGGAGCAAUCUGCUACUUGGGGAUGGGCCUGCGGCGCAUUAGCUAGUUGGUGGGGUAAUGGCUCUCCAAGGCGACGAUGCGUAGCCGACCUGAGAGGGCGAACGGCCACACUGGGACUGAGACACGGCCCAG